UACGAAGGGGGCUAGCGUUGCUCGGAAUCACUGGGCGUAAAGGGUGCGUAGGCGGCCUGAUAAGUAGGGGGUGAAAUCCUGUGGCUCAACUGCAGGGCUGCCUCCUAGACUGUCGGGCUUGAGCACGGUAGAGGCAGAUGGAAUUCCCGGUGUAGCGGUGGAAUGCGUAGAUAUCGAGAGGAACACCUGCGGCGAAGGCGGGUUGCUGGGCUGACACUGACGCUGAAGUGCGAAAGCUAGGGGAGCGAACGGG
rnacentral:rRNA from 1 species